rnacentral:rRNA from 1 species
AUGGUGUUAGCGAUGGAGUUGAGCGCAUUGGAGUCCUUAGUGGUGGCCAUGAUACCUUCACUUCCACCAUCAGAGUCCCAUCAGCCGCUCGCCUUUCCGGGCUAUGGAGACUUGGUUGGUUCUGUCAAUGCCUUAUCUAUGGCCAUUGGGCAUGUGGCAUCUUUGAGUGGCGAGGUUGAUGAGAUAGGUGUGUUGGCACCUAACUCUGAGGCUCUAUCAUGCGAGAAACUAGAGAUGCCUGAGUACAUCGUGUCAGUGGUUCCUGUGAUUGAUCAUGUUGAGGCGGUCGGUGCAUUGGUGCCUGAUCCUUCAGAGCCCAACCAGCCUCUCGCCUUGUGGAGCAUGGAGGUUCCGAUGUUGCAGUCACCCACUCGCAUGUGA